GCUCUCUGCCCGCCAGCCGGUCCCCCUGAUAAAGCUCUCUCUGCUUGUCCGUGUGUUCCACAGUCACACCCUCGCCCGAGGCAGAACCAGAGGAAAAGGAAGUGGAAGCUCCAGCAGCUGUGGCAGAUAAUGAAAUGAGCAUGUUUGAGUCCGAAGCUUUGGAGGCUCACAAUCAUUACAGAGCGAUGCACGACGCACCAGCGCUCCAAUACAGUUUUGAACUACGGCAAGAAUGCAAGAGGUGGGCAGAAUACCUGGCAUCCAUGGGAAUGGCAGAGGACAGCAAGACCAAGAACGGCGAGAACAUCUGGACCACACUCAGCACCGCAGCAGAAAUUUCAGGCAAAGACCCUGUUACUGCGUGGUACAACGAAAUCAUUGAUUACAACUUUAACAGUCCUGGUUACAGCACACUGACAUGU